GGCUUUUGUUGGUUCAUUCCUCCCGAGCUUCUGGCACAACACAGCAGUAAAUGCUGGCCUAUUAUUACGGAUUAAUUUACCGAAACGUUCGGAUUGUGUGACAGUUACAGCGCGGCCGUUUCUCUUUUCCUUUUACUCCAGCCGUAGUGGAGAGAAGCGUUUGACUUACGUCCACUGUGCAGUAUAGCGCAUCCGGUCUUGGGGGUUCGAUUGCUGCCGCACCCUCUCAGUGAUCAAUCGCCUGAUUUUAAGUGAAGAGUUGAAACGCCUGCCUAGCUGCUGUUUCAGGGCUCCUCUGCAGUGGAGCUGCUGUCUUGUUUUGCGCCUGCUGUUUUGCCUCGCCUCGCCUCGUUGGGGCUUUGGGGUUUUACUUUGAGCUCCUUCUGGACUAUUCUUUGCACUCCAGCUCAGUGGCGUGUCCAGUGGGGUGGCCUGCCCCCCAACAAGACUGGCCACCCCAGGUGCCACCCCGAAGCUAUAACAAUAAAAUUCAAUCAAAUAUCAAAUGUACGAUUAUGUUUUCACAGUGAAGGUCAGAUAUCCGAGUGUAAGUGAAUGCAGCAUUGGCUUCUGCACUAUGAGCAUCACGUUAGCAAAGGAAGGAGAGCCAAGCACGAAAUACGGUACCGCAGAAAACAAUUUUUGGGCGAAAGAUAAGGAGGAGAGAAUAAAUGUCCUGGUAAGUAAUAAGUUUGUUGAGUUUAGUAAACUUCGGUGAAAUUAGAAUACCAAGGAAAAAAAUAACACUUAAAGAAUUAUUGCAACCGCCGAAUAUUUCAGACAGUAGGCUACUGGGGGGAGCUAGCAUAAGAGUUAUGAGUUAUAAGAUAUAAUCCAAGUCGUAACAUUGCUGUAUGGAGCUGCAGAUUUGGUUGCAGGUUAAUACUGGCAGUGUCACCAUGCCAGCUGACUGUAUUUCAUCAUCAGCCAGUGUUGUUCUUUAUACAUCAGUAUUACCAAAGUUUACCAUAAGGCAGCACUUAUACUACACUGUGCGGUCUAGCUAAUUUCUCUCAUUACUUAUCCUAUCUGCCAGCUCCAUGUUAUGAAUAGAGUGUAAGUCGCCCCAUAAAUGGCUGUGCCAUGUUUAAUGCAGGGAUGUGCAGCUCUGGUUCUCAAGGCUCCUGUCCUCCCGGUUUCAGAUGUUUCCAUAUUUCAACACCACUGAUUUAAAGAAUCAUUUACAGACUUGUGGACAACUAGGUGUUUGGGGAUUAUUUGAUUUGGAUUGGCUAUGUUGGUAUAGUGUAACAUCUAAAAUGUGCAGGAUAGGGGUCCAUGAGGGCCAGAAUUUGACAUCCCUGACUUCUAGUCAAGGUCAUACAUCAGGAAAGUUGUUUGUGACCUAAGUUUUUGCUUUAUUACUUCAGGGCAGACCAGAAGAAUAGGAAGAAUGAAAAGAUCUCAAAAUGUUGAGAAUUUCUUCCUUAAGAAGGCUAAAAUACAACCAGAAGCAGAGAGCAAUGUCAGGGAAAGGUGGACUGAGCAGCAGUCAUCAUUGUCACCUGUGAGUUCUACAAAUGAAGUGAGAAGGAGAGAGGCAAACUGGGAGUGACAGAGUGGCUGCGUCAGAAACCGCAGGGGAAAACACGUUACAUGA